ACGCUCGACACCUACGGGGCAGCAGUGGGGAAUAUUGCACAAUGGGGGAAACCCUGAUGCAGCGACGCCGCGUGAGCGAAGAAGUAUCUCGGUAUGUAAAGCUCUAUCAGCAGGGAAGAAGAUGACGGUACCUGACUAAGAAGCACCGGCUAAAUACGUGCCAGCAGCCGCGGUAAUCUGAGCGGGCUGGCAAGGC
rnacentral:rRNA from 1 species